rnacentral:rRNA from 1 species
AAUAUUGCGCAAUGGAGGGAACUCUGACGCAGCGACGCCGCGUGAGCGAUGAAGGUUUUCGGAUCGUAAAGCUCUGUCCUUGGGGAAGAAGGUCUUCGGACUUGACGGUACCUAAGGAGGAAGCCCCGGCUAACUACGUGCCAGCAGCCGCGGUAAUACGUAGGGGGCAAGCGUUGUCCGGAUUUACUGGGUGUAAAGGGCGCGCAGGCGGUUUAGUAAGUCAGCUGUGAAAGUCCAGGGCUUAACCCUGGAAUUGCAGUUGAAACUACCAAACUUGAGAUAAGGAGAGGAGAGCGGAAUUCCUAGUGUAGCGGUGAAAUGCGUAGAUAUUAGGAAGAACACCAGUGGCGAAGGCGGCUCUCUGGCCUUGAACUGACGCUGAGGCGCGAAAGCGUGGGUAGCGAAC